rnacentral:rRNA from 1 species
UAGAGUUUGAUCCUGGCUCAGGACGAACGCUGGCGGCGUGCCUAAUACAUGCAAGUUGAACGAUGAUUUCUGGUACUUGUAUCAGAAUGAAGAGUAGCGAACGGGUGAGUAACGCGUGGGUAACCUACCUCUUAGCGGGGGUCAACUAUUGGAAACGAUGGCUAAUACCGCAUAACAAUGUUAAACCCAUGUUUAACAUUUGAAAGUACCAAUUGGUACACUAGGGGAUGGACCCGCGUUGUAUUAGCUAGUUGGUAGUGUAAUGGACUACCAAGGCGAUGAUACAUAGCCGACCUGAGAGGGUGAUCGGCCACAUUGGGACUGAGACACGGCCCAAACUCCUACGGGAGGCAGCAGUAGGGAAUCUUCGGCAAUGGACGAAAGUCUGACCGAGCAACGCCGCGUGAGUGAAGAAGGUUUUCGGAUCGUAAAACUCUGUUGUUAGAGAAGAACGUUGUGUAGAGUGGAAAAUUACACAAGUGACGGUAUCUAACCAGAAAGGGACGGCUAACUACGUGCCAGCAGCCGCGGUAAUA